UACGGGGGGGGGCACGCGUUGUUCGGAAUUCCUGGGCGUAACGGGCUCGUAGGCGGCCAACUAAGUCAGACGUGAAAUCCCUCGGCUUAACCGGGGAACUGCGUCUGAUACUGGAUGGCUUGAGUUUGGGAGAGGGAUGCGGAAUUCCAGGUGUAGCGGUGAAAUGCGUAGAUAUCUGGAGGAACACCGGUGGCGAAGGCGGCAUCCUGGACCAACACUGACGCUGAGUGAGCGAAAGCCAGGGGAGCAAACGGG
rnacentral:rRNA from 1 species